GGAAAAUUACCUCUCCUUGGAGCUCCUUGCUGAACCACUCCUUUUCAUACUCAUGAUCAGGCCCUACGGACACAUAUGCGGUGCCAGGCCUCUCAACCAGCCUUGAAGAUUCUUUCCUGCUAAAAACAAGUUGUUAAAAACAAUUUUUCUUUUCUGAAAUCAAGAAUAACAAUCCCAGUUUACACAAAAAAAAGCAUUUCACUGAAAAAUCCUUACUGGCUGCCUAAUUUAAUCCAAGGCCCAGUUUUGGCAGCAUCCAUAAAGCCUUUUCUAAAUGUGUUCUUAUCUAUUAAAACAGUACACAUACCCCAGUGCGUCUUUUCAGGUGCUCUGGUUUCUAAGGUUGAAUAGAGACAUGAUGCAACAAGAUGUAUGAUGCAAGUCACACACAAUCAGACUUGCUCCUUACAAUUUCAGUCAAAUAAAAAAAGUAUUAGAUAUGGAAAUAACCACACACACUACAGGACUACAAUAGUAUGACAUUUUUUUUUUUUUAAUCAGAAAGCAGAAAUUUAGUUCACUAUGUAAGAACGAUAUAGGACAUAUCAAUGUGGGUGUGUAAAAAAAAAAAAAAAAAAAAAAAAAAAAAAAAAAAAA